UUCCGUAGGUGAACCUGCGGAAGGAUCAUUACCGAGUGAGGGCCCUCUGGGUCCAACCUCCCACCCGUGUCUAUCGUACCUUGUUGCUUCGGCGGGCCCGCCGUUUCGACGGCCGCCGGGGAGGCCUUGCGCCCCCGGGCCCGCGCCCGCCGAAGACCCCAACAUGAACGCUGUUCUGAAAGUAUGCAGUCUGAGUUGAUUAUCGUAAUCAGUUAAAACUUUCAACAACGGAUCUCUUGGUUCCGGCAUCGAUGAAGAACGCAGCGAAAUGCGAUAAGUAAUGUGAAUUGCAGAAUUCAGUGAAUCAUCGAGUCUUUGAACGCACAUUGCGCCCCCUGGUAUUCCGGGGGGCAUGCCUGUCCGAGCGUCAUUGCUGCCCUCAAGCACGGCUUGUGCUGUUGGGCCCCCGUCCCCCUCUCCCGGGGGACGGGCCCGAAAGGCAGCGGCGGCACCGCGUCCGGUCCUCGAGCGUAUGGGGCUUUGUCACCUGCUCUGUAGGCCCGGCCGGCGCCAGCCGACACCCAACUUUAUUUUUCUAAGGUUGACCUCGGAUCAGGUAG
rnacentral:rRNA from 1 species